AUGUAUUUGAAAACACCUAUAUACCAUAGCUAAAAAUGGGUAAAAUCCAUGGUAUAUCAACUCCCCCAGACUUACUCUUUUGCUUGUCCUCAAGCAAAACAACGAGCAGUCUCUCUUGAAACGGUUUCGAAACAGCAGGGACUCACGCAAUUUAAGAACUUACUAUCAUCACCUCAACACCAUUUCAAACCACAUCAAAUCAAUCUUUACUUAAAAGUACGUUUUCUGCAAUAUCCUAGUUUAGAAACCAAAUCCAUUCAUCAAGCAACUAAACUAAUCAUGUCUGACUAACCCCUCUACUUGCCUCAUUUAAUACAUGUAAAUAAAAGAUGUAGACUUUACCUUGGGAGUAUCGAUCACUGAACACAUGGAAUCAACUCAAACAAUUAAUCUGGACCUACAUGUAACCCCUUUCUGAUUCC
rnacentral:lncRNA from 1 species